GAUGAACGCUGACAGAAUGCUUAACACAUGCAAGUCGAUUCGAUUUUACCUUCGGGUAUUGAGGAUGGCGGACGGGUGAGUAACGCGUAAGGAACUUGCCUCUUGGACUGGGACAACUGUUGGAAACGACAGCUAAAUACCGGAUAUUAUGAGAUUCUCGCAUGGGAAACUUAUGAAAGCUAUAUGCGCCAAGAGAGAGCCUUGCGUUCCAUUAGCUAGUUGGUGGGGUAAUGGCCCACCAAGGCGACGAUGGAUAGCCGGCCUGAGAGGGUGAACGGCCACAAGGGGACUGAGACACGGCCUUACUCCUACGGGAGGCAGCAGUGGGAAUAUUGGACAAUGGGCCACAAGCCUGAUCCAGCAAUUCUGUGUGCACGAUGAAGGUCUUCGGAUCGUAAAGUGCUUUCAGUUGGGAAGAAGAAAGUGACGGUACCAACAGAAGAAGCGACGGCUAAAAUACGUGCCAGCCGCCGCGGUAA
rnacentral:rRNA from 1 species